CAGUAGCCGCGGUAAUACGAAGGGUGCAAGCGUUAAUCGGAAUUACUGGGCGUAAAGCGUGCGUAGGCGGUUUGUUAAGUCUGCUGUGAAAUCCCCGGGCUCAACCUGGGAAUGGCAGUGGAUACUGGCAAGCUAGAGUGUGUCAGAGGAUGGUGGAAUUCCCGGUGUAGCGGUGAAAUGCGUAGAGAUCGGGAGGAACAUCAGUGGCGAAGGCGGCCAUCUGGGACAACACUGACGCUGAGGCACGAAAGCGUGGGGAGCAAACAGGAUUAGAGACCCCUGUAGUCCCUGUCUCUUAUAC
rnacentral:rRNA from 1 species